UCGGCAUCUCAGUUGUCGUAGUUGUAGUAGUUGUUGUCUUGGGUUUAGGUUUCUCCGUUGGCUUAGGGGGUUUUGGUUUCUCAGUAGGUUUGGGCUUUGGCUUCUCAGUCGGCUUAGGUUUAGGCUUUGGUUUCUCUGUAGGUUUGGGCUUUGGUUUCUCGGUACGUUUGGCCAGUAACGGUUUUUUCGUCGGUUCGUGCUGGGUCUCCGCCUCCUGUAUUUCCGUCAUAGUAAAGUUACGUUUGUGCCACACAUAGGUAUGCGAUAUUAUGUUACUAAACAUUUUUAUAUUUGACUAUUCAUGUUAUCUACCUAAUCAAAAUUUAUUUUCUUACCACAACAACGGCGAAGCAGACGGUAAGCAACACGAACAUUGGUAGGAACUUCAUCUUUCAACGUUAUCCCUAGACAGGAGCUCCUUUGGAAGUGGAUCGUCAACAUCGACCGGGCCGUCAUUUAAUAGCCGCCCAUUUUCUUCAGUCGCCGUAAUGACGAAUCCAGUUGUUCUUGCAACUGCAAACGUGCAUUGACGUAAGUUGAAAAAAAAAGGCUCCUGUUGAUAAUAUCAGGUGAGUGCCACGAAAAUAAGUGUAUAUGUGAAACGGAUGCGAUGACGUGUUAUAUCCCGAGUGCCGAGUCUAUAGUCUCCGUUCUAUUUCAUAGAAUUUUCUUUUUCGUUUCAAGUUGCUUAUAAUAUCGCAAACAGAUAUCUGCCAGAUGCGGUGACUAUCCAGAUUAUUAAAAAAAUAAAAGCCUCGGUAACCUAACUCGCACUUGCAGCCAGUUGCGCCGUUGUUCGGUUUUUGGGGACGAGGUAACAGGUGACGAUGUACCAAGCGUAAGUAACGUGAAACAUUCGGAAGGUGACGCAUUCUCCGCUGCUGUAGUUGGCUAUGAAAUCGAAUUUUUCAUGAAAAUGACGAAUCGUAUGAAAACGCGAUUAUGCAGUUUCCAUAUCGUAUGACAGACGACGAAACGUUGAAAUUAACCUAUUUGGUCCACACAUAGGCGAGGUACCGAAUAUUAGGCGGCUGCUCUGAACAGCGUUGCGAAUCGCCUAGGUUCCUGAUGGAUUUUUUGAGCCACACCAUUAUUCUCCGCAUCCGUUCCUAUAAUGCAUGUGGGCUCUUUAAACAGACGAAUAUUUUCUACAGCAGCUGAUGAUGCUCUUAUUUGCGACGAUAAAAUGUACUUAAAUUGCAGCCUUCGUUACUCGGGAAUAGGUGAAGAUAAUACUGACGACUAUAUUGAGUAGGAGGAGUACACCACGUAUUCGAGUGUUACACGUUUGCAUAUUGCUGAGCACUGCUGCAGCGCAGCUGUAUGCCAGGUGUAGUCUAGUCAUUCUGCUAGUUAGUCAAUACCUGCUAGUCUGCUAUUUAGUCAAUAGAUUCUGCCUUGGACCAAUUCAACUCGAUUUGUUUGACAUCUGUCCUGACGAAACCCGAUUGAACCAGAUCCGGGACAAAUAAAUCGAUUGGUUAUCGAAGGCAAUUAUUGCAACGGGUAUAAAUGCCGCAUGUUCAUGGCUGAUCGAUCCACAGUUUCAACCGACUCUGCACAAUCGAGCUGAAAAUGAAAGUCCUUGCUAUCUUUGUCCUGCUUGCCGUCUGCAUCGCUGUCGCAUCGGCCGACCAUCAUGGCAAAAAGCCCAAUCAUGGUUCCCAUUCAGGAACUCGUCAUCCUGGCACCCACAAGCCUCACCACCAUCAUACGCGCAAACCCAGAGAUCUGAGUGAUGAACCGGAACUUCGCGCCAAUACUCGUGCCCCUAAGCCAACGCGUAAGCCAAACCCUACUCAUGGGCCCAAGCCGUCCGCUAAGCCAAAGCCGACUAGCGCACCCAAGCCGACUCGUCGACAUGGACCCGUCGCUCCUUCGCGCAAGCCAACAACUCGUAAGCCUUAAGUGGCGAAGACGUUAGCCUAUAUAGAGCUCACUGAUUUCAAUCAGUUGAUGCCGGAUACCGUUCUGCAUGAAGAUCUGAUCAUCUGGGGUUAUACAACAGGUGACAGGCGAUUUCCACGGUUUCCAUUAAAUAGGCUCAAAACAUUUGAAAAAAAUGGUAUGUUUAAUUUGUUGGAUUUAAUCGGUGAUUUUUGUUGAUUUCUGAUUAAAUAAAAACGAAUUAAAUUGCCUGAAAAUGUUUAUUGGUUUCUGAAUUAAAAGACCCUGUCGAAGGCCAGAGGUUUGUGUUCUUAAGUUGUGGUUUAAACUUGAAACUGAAUUGUGCAUGAUUUUCUGUUUUGCUAAUACCAGCAUACCAGAAAUUUUUAGUUAAUAUUCAUCGUAAUUAUCUUGAGUUUCUAUUGAUGUUGGUAUGUCACUAACCCCAGCAUGGACACUAGUUGUUUUUUUUUCCGAACCUGUUUAGAUAUGUUAACAUAGAGACAGCUAUGGGAGCAUAAUCAAGGCCAUGGGUAAAUCUUCAUCAGGUUUAUUGCAGAAACUUGAAAAAUUCACAUGAAAAUCAAAAUAUGCAGGGCACAUACCAACAUGUGUUGCAUUUUUCUGAAUCUCUUACUCAAGUAGUAGAUGCGAUAUGACUGUUUGAUGCUAAAUUGGAACCCUAACUCAAACACAGAUAACCGCUAAUGCUGCCUUACAGCCACAGACAAGAAAAUGAUUCUUUUCUUCAGAAAUUUUAAGUUUUAUCUUUUGUCUUGACCCCCCCAUACUUUAUACCCCCAUACCCCCAAUCUCAUCAGAUUUAUUUGUAUGUGAUGUGUAUCUGAUUAUUCAUUUCUCAUGAGUCGUGAUGUUAAGCUUCGGAACCGGAAUAGUUCGGAAAGCAAUCCAUCCAUCCGUUCCGUACGUGGUAAUUCGUGGAGUAAUCUUUUGGCUGUCGGUAGGUGGCUAAAAUCAUGUCCACCAGCCACCAGGUGGCGCGAGUGUCUUUGUGAGGACGAAAUUUUCGCCAUUGUUUCCCGAGACGCUGACUGAAAGUGUAUUCCAAAUUCAGUACGGAAUUGCGGUGUCAAUUUACAUUUUCAUCUAUGAAAUUUAAUGGGCAAUCUGGUGUAAAAUGUCCACUUGGCCAAAUGAUCUGACAUUCUGACCACAUGAGGUGAAACUGCUGUCCAUUUUGCUGAAAUGUCGUC